rnacentral:lncRNA from 1 species
UUUUUUUUUUUUUUUUUUAAAUUCUGUGGUAACAGCAACCCAGGAGUGGAAUGUACUAAGGAAAAGGAAAUGUUAAACUCAGCCUAAUCAAACAUUUUCUUAUCCAAAAUUGAAUAUAAUUUGGUUUUACGGGACCAAGAGGUUCAUUGAGUGGAUAAAUUACUUACCAUAUCCACAGUCAAUUAAGUAGAGUGUUUGUAAGUCAUAAGACAAAAUAUUGGGUACAGCCAAGGAUCACUAGUGCCUCUCAUUUAACAUAAAACAGUUUGAGACCUUAGUUUAUAUAAUCCACUUCUUCUACUGUGCACAGCUGUAACUGUGGUGCAGGGGAAAGAGUUCUUCACAUCUGUGACCUGGGCUCACAUCCUUGCCAUCUGCAUAUGACUGAGCAUUCUUGGAUAAAUUGUGUCUCUAAGACUCUUCUUUUGCACAUGGACAAAGAAGGGGAAAGGAUAACAAUAGUUAUAAACACAGAAUUUUUAUAAUAACUACAAAUAUACUUGGAAAUGCCUAGAAAUCUGCACUCAAAAUACAGAUCCUCUACCUAAUAGUCCUGUCAACUAGUUUUUUGACUAUAAAAAUUUAAUCAUGAUGCAUUGAUUCUAUAUGGCUUUGGGGAACAUUAUAAAGGAUCAUGAAUGUGAAGUGCCUGGACCAUUGUAAGCUCUCAGUAAGUAUUAGUCACACAAUGAAGAUAUAGUAAGGAGAAGGAAAAGGAGAAGAAUAAGUAGAAAGAGAAAAGACCCUCUGCCCAAUGAAAUUUUCUAGAAUUUCCACCUAAAUUUUGUUUUGUUUCAUGACAUAUCAAAUUGUAGUUUUGACAUCUAGCUAAGUUAACUAAAGCUCAAAAGACAAUUAUAAUGCCUACCAAAAAAUAUUGCUGCACAGAAUAUAUAAAAUCAUUUACAGAAAGUAUUUUGCUUGAUACAUCAGGUAAAAAUAGCCAAUAAUAACUAGUAGCUGGUAUUAUUAUUGUUAUUACUAUUAAUGGUUUUAUAUUAUGAAAGCAUGAUCAUGUGGGCAAAUUUUAAAAUAAAAAUAAGCAAAAAUGAUAGUAAGAACCCAUCCCUCAGAAACAAUCAUUGUUAACAUUUUCAUGCCUAUCUCUUCUUAUAAAAUAAGAAGGAGGCCAGGCGCAGUGGCUUAUUCCUGUAAUCCCAGCACUUUGGGAAGCCUAGCCAGGUGGAUCACUUGAGGUCAGGAGAUCGAG